rnacentral:rRNA from 1 species
CCAGCCUGCCCAGUGACAAGAUUUAACGGCCGCGGUACCCUAACCGUGCGAAGGUAGCAUAAUCACUUGUUCUUUAAAUGAGGACCAGUAUCAACGGCAUCACGAGGAUCUUACUGUCUCCCCCCUCUAAUCAGUGAAACUGAUCUCUCCGUGAAGAAGCGGGGAUGAACAUAUAAGACGAGAAGACCCCAUGGAGCUUUAAACCCGACAGCACCCACUUAUUUUAUACCCCAUUAUAUACCCAAUGCCUGUCUGCUCGGUUUUAGGUUGGGGUGACCGCGGAGUAUAAGAUAACCUCCAUGAAGAAGGGGAUAAAACGCCUUAUUAGAGAAUGACACUUCCAAAAACUAAUAAACUAAUUUUUAAUGAUCCGACACUCGAUCAACGAACCAAGUUACCCUGGGGAUAACAGCGCAAUCCACCCCGAGAGCCCCUAUCGACAGGUGGGUUUACGACCUCGAUGUUGGAUCAGGGUACCCCAGUGGUGCAGCAGCUACUAAAGGUUCGUUUGUUCAACGAUUAAAACCCU